GAAUACGUCUCCUCCUUUGAGUUGGUGAAGCCGCAGUUCUCUCUUCAAAGCUGAUGGGUCAGGAAAUACGAGAGAUGCCAAGUGCCGAGCGCGCUGCUAGAGCCUGGCCACAAAGGAUUGACAGCACCAGGAUGACAGGGGUGAAGAGAGGCCUAACAUGCCUCCCGCCACUGGCAGGCUCACCCUGGCAUCUCAUUCACGCCAUUCGUGACGGAAGAGAUGGCUGGUGCUCCUAUGGUCUCACCUCCUGGGACAGCUCUGAUUGCUUGAAAAUCUCCUCUUUUAUGGCAAUGCUUCCUACUAUCUGCAGUUCAGACCAUAUCAUCUUCUGGGUUACGUGAGUCUUAAAACUGAUCUCAGCGUUUGGAGUCCGAUCCCCUUCUGUUCCCCAGGUGACCUCCUAGUAGACUUUAGGCCUUGGCUCAAAUGUAAAUUCCGUAGAGAGAGCCUUUGGUAAUCCCUCAGACCAGUGUGGGUUCCUCUUCUAUUCAUGACCAUAAUGCACUGUACUUUCCCUUUGUACCACCUGUAAGUGCCAUGACUGAGUCGUUGUGUGUUUGUCUCUGUGCUGCUGGUUUGUUCCCCGCCUCACUGCCGGAGCUGCCCUGGGGCCAGUGUGAGCGGGGACCCAGCCCGCCUGCCCUGGGGCCAGUGUGAGCGGGACCCAGCCCGCCUGCCCUGGGGCCAGUGUGAGCGGGGACCCAGCCCGCCUGCCCUGGGGCCAGUGUGAGCGGGACCCAGCCCGCCUGCCCUGGGGCCAGUGUGAGCGGGGACCCAGCCCGCCUGCCCUGGGGCCAGUGUGAGCGGGACCCAGCCCGCCUGCCCUGGGGCCAGUGUGAGCGGGGACCCAGCCCGCCUGCCCUGGGGCCAGUGUGAGCGGGGACCCAGCCCGCCUGCCCUGGGGCCAGUGUGAGCGGGACCCAGCCCGCCUGCCCUGGGGCCAGUGUGAGCGGGGACCCAGCCCGCCUGCCGUCGCCUCCUGCAGGCCCAGGACACAGCAGCUCUCGGAAGUUACCUGUCGGAUGGAAUAUAUGCAGAUGUACGUGAUUCCUCCUUCUGUUCCAGGAACACAUACAGGACCUCACGUCACAUGUAGCUGUCGUGUCCUCUGAAGCUCCUCUUGGCUAAGAGAAUCUCUCUAACUUGUUUUACUUUGACGGUUUCGAGAAGUAUGGUAAAUAAGGUACGUUACAGGUGCCCCUCCACAGGAAUUCACCUGUUUUUCUCAUGACUAGACUGGGGCUACGGGCUUCUGGGAGGAAGCCCACAGAUGCUGUUUUCAUCACAUGGAGCCCGGGGUACAGACGGUCAACAUCGCCCAUCACCGCUGAUGUUCACCUGGUCACCUGGCUGCGGUGCUGGAGGUGUUUGUCAGAAUCUGUUACCAGGGAUGCUCCCACGUGUAGGUGAGAACUGGGUCUCAUCGCCCCAGAGACUGGGGAUCAUCACCUGAAGGACGUGCAGACAGCAGGGCGUCAGGCUGACCAGGAGCUCGGAGGAAGACCCCUGCCCCCAGAGUCCUCUUCUCCGCCGGACACCCAGAAGCUAAGCGCAAGGCGUGGAGGUCUGAGCGUUCCGUGGUGAGCCAGAGCAUGGAGGGCGCGGCUCGGUGGUACAGAGCGGUUCCUGUGCGGCAGGAGGGAAGGAGGAGGCGUGAGGACAGGGGACGGGGGUAGAGGCCGGUCCAGGGGCGGGACGCUCGCGCUCCGCCGGAGGAGGCCCGGGCCCCAGCUCUGCGUCUGGAGCAAGGCGUUAGGAAAACCACGGGGGCUGAGAUAGUUCGAGAGGGACUGUGCGGCCGCCCGGGCCGAGGCUCUGCUGUCUCUUGCUGGUGUCCCCGCAGCCCCGCGGGCGGGACAGCGGGAGCAGGCGGAUGGCCCCAGAGAGCACCCCGCUCGUCCCACGGCGUGGCCGGGUCCCUGCGAGGCCCCGUGAAUGGUGCAGGGGAGAGGCCAGAACUGCGGCCCGGGGGCUGCCCACGCUGGCGGGGCGUGGAGGGAAGUGUCACGGC